AUGUUGCCAUUUUACGGACUAAAACUCAACAAGGCGGUUAAAAAGAAAUAUGCAGGUAUUGUGGAAACAAGCGAAGGGUGUGCUCUAAGAGAUGGGAAAACAGUGAAUUUAGUAUCCUUCCAAAAGUGUGUUUCCUUGGAGGUAAUGAUCCUCUCGAGCAGCAAUGCAAACACUUCUGUGUGUGUGCUAAGUCGCUCAGUCAUGUCCAGCUGUUUGUGACCUCAUGAACUGUAGCCCGCCAGACUCCUCUGUCCAUGGAAUUCUCCAGGC
rnacentral:lncRNA from 1 species